UUAACUAUUAUAUAGUACUCAGACGAUACUUAAACUCAGAGUUUAGGGUUCUCUGGCGAGCACUCACCAGCGUGAGCCGGUGGCCGAGGCGGCUCGCCAAAGCAACAAAGGUAUAAUAACAUAGGGUUGGAGAGUCACCUGUAAAGGCGAUGUUCUCUGUAAUGAUCCUUCCGCAGGUUCACCUACGGAAA
rnacentral:misc_RNA from 1 species